CUACGUGCCAGCAGCCGCGGUAAUACGGAGGGUGCGAGCGUUAAUCGGAAUAACUGGGCGUAAAGGGCACGCAGGCGGUGACUUAAGUGAGGUGUGAAAGCCCCGGGCUUAACCUGGGAAUUGCAUUUCAUACUGGGUCGCUAGAGUACUUUAGGGAGGGGUAGAAUUCCACGUAUAGCGGUGAAAUGCGUAGAGAUGUGGAGGAAUACCGAAGGCGAAGGCAGCCCCUUGGGAAUGUACUGACGCUCAUGUGCGAAAGCGUGGGGAGCAAACAGGAUUAGAUACCCUGGUAGUCCACGCUGUAAACGAUGUCGAUUUGGGGGUUGGGCUUUAAGCUUGGCGCCCGUAGCUAACGUGAUAAAUCGACCGCCUGGGGAGUACGGCCGCAAGGUUAAAACUCAAAUGAAUUGACGGGGGCCCGCACAAGCGGUGGAGCAUGUGGUUUAAUUCGAUGCAACGCGAAGAACCUUACCUACUCUUGACAUCCAGA
rnacentral:rRNA from 1 species